GAAAUGCGAUAAGUAGUGUGAAUUGCAGAAUUCAGUGAAUCAUCGAAUCUUUGAACGCACAUUGCGCCCUUUGGUAUUCCUUAGGGCAUGCCCGUUCGAGCGUCAUCUAAACCUUCAAGCCCUGCUUGGUGUUGGGUGCCUGUCCCGCCUCCGCGCGCGGACUCACCUCAAAUCCAUUGGCGGCCCCCGCGUCGGCCACGAGCGCAGCAGAAACGCGAACUCGUGAGCCCGUCCGGGCGGCUCCCAGAAGCUACACCCACCCAGUUUGACCUCGGAUCAGGUAGGGAUACCCGCUGAACUUAAGC
rnacentral:misc_RNA from 1 species